rnacentral:rRNA from 1 species
GACGAACGCUGGCGGCGUGCCUAAUACAUGCAAGUAGAACGCUGAAGGAGGAGCUUGCUUCUCUGGAUGAGUUGCGAACGGGUGAGUAACGCGUAGGUAACCUGCCUGGUAGCGGGGGAUAACUAUUGGAAACGAUAGCUAAUACCGCAUAAUAGCAGUUAUUGCAUGAUAACUGUUUGAAAGGUGCAAUUGCACCACUACCAGAUGGACCUGCGUUGUAUUAGCUAGUUGGUGGGGUAACGGCUCACCAAGGCGACGAUACAUAGCCGACCUGAGAGGGUGAGCGGCCAGACUGGGACGGUGACACGGCCCAGACUCCUUCGGGAGGCAGCAGGAGGGAAUCUUGGGCAAUGGACGGAAGUCUGACCGAGCAACGCCGCGUGAGUGAAGAAGGUUUUCGGAUCGGAAAGCUCGGUUGUAAGAGAAGAACGAGUGUGAGAGUGGAAAGUUCACACUGUGACGGUAUCUGACCAGAAAGGGACGGCUAACUACGUG